AGAAAAACUGGAAAAACAGUUAAGACUAAAGAAGCCAUCUUACAAUGGAGAAGAAAAAAAAGGAAAGGACAUCUCACAAUACCAUCACACUGGUUUUCCUGGGGGGAUGUGAAAUAUGCUGCUCCUCUGCAAAAAGGGUACACAAUCCAGUCUACCCGGUGUGUGAGACUUGCAGAGGGAACAGGUAUGAAUGCAUCAACUGGACUUUAUUACUGAAAGUAUUCUGGGGACACCUGGGUGGCUCAGCGGUUGAGCAUCUGCCUUCAGCUCGGGGAGUGAUCCCAGGGUACCGGGAUCAAGUCCCACUUUGGGCUCCUCGCAGGGAGCCUGCUUCUCCCUUUG